rfam:Medicago truncatula strain A17 chromosome 8, whole genome shotgun sequence.
CCCAUAAGUAAUAAAAGGUUCGUUUAGGUCCCAUAACUUUAUUAAAGUAUCGGUCUGAUCCUUUUUUGUUAAUUUAAUUCAAAAAAACGUUAAGUUUAGAGACCAAAUUAAUACUAAUUAAAUAAGUUAAGGGACCAAACUAUACUAAUUAAAUAAGUUAAAGGAUCAAAAUUUAACGUUUUUUUUGAAUUAAAUUAACAUAAAAGACCAAACGAUACUUUAAAUGAAGUUAAGGGACCUAAACGGACCUUUUAUUACUUAUGGGA